rnacentral:rRNA from 1 species
GGAUCCAGACUUUGAUUAUGGCUCAGGACGAACGCUGGCGGCGUGCUUAACACAUGCAAGUCGAACGAGAAUCUACUGAAAGAGUUUUCGGACGAUGGAAGUAGAGGAAAGUGGCGGACGGGUGAGUAACGCGUGAGGAACUUGCCUUGAAGAGGGGGACAGCAGUUGGAAACGACUGCUAAUACCGCAUGAAGCAUAGGGGUCGCAUGAUUCUUAUGCCAAAGAUUUAUCGCUUCAAGAUGGCCUCGCGUCUGAUUAGCUAGUUGGCGGGGUAACGGCCCACCAAGGCGACGAUCAGUAGCCGGACUGAGAGGUUGAACGGCUACAUUGGGACUGAGAUACGGCCCAGACUCCUACGGGAGGCAGCAGUGGGGAAUAUUGGGCAAUGGGCGCAAGCCUGACCCAGCAACGCCGCGUGAAGGAAGAAGGCUUUCGGGUUGUAAACUUCUUUUUAGAGGGAAGAGCAGAAGACGGUACCUCUAGAAUAAGCCACGGCUAACUACGUGCCAGCAGCCGCGGUAAUACGUAGGAGGCAAGCGUUGUCCGGAUUUACUGGGUGUAAAGGGCGUGCAGCCGGGUCUGCAAGUCAGAUGUGAAAUCCAUGGGCUCAACCCAUGAACUGCAUUUGAAACUGUAGAUCUUGAGUGUCGGAGGGGCAAUCGGAAUUCCUAGUGUAGCGGUGAAAUGCGUAGAUAUUAGGAGGAACACCAGUGGCGAAGGCGGAUUGCUGGACGAUAACUGACGGUGAGGCGCGAAAGUGUGGGGAGCAAACAGGAUUAGAUACCCUGGUAGUCCACACUGUAAACGAUGAAUACUAGGUGUGCGGGGACUGACCCCCUGCGUGCCGCAGUAAACACAAUAAGUAUUCCACCUGGGGAGUACGAUCGCAAGGUUGCAACUCAAAUGAAUUGACG